CACACUUGUUUUGGCUAAAAAUUUUCUGAACUCAGUCUCGUAAAUCGCAUAGGACUUCUCCUUUUCUACCAAAGUCGAUAGAUUCCAUCUAGGUGCAUCCUACUCCAAACAGCGAACCUAAACCUACUAAAGCCAAUAUACACAGCAAGGACUCGAAUGGCUAGGGACCAAAAGAAUGUGCAGUCAAACCCAGUAGCCUUACUGUGAAUAGCCAAUGACACCAC
rnacentral:lncRNA from 1 species